UACGUAGGGUGCAAGCGUUAAUCGGAAUUACUGGGCGUAAAGCGUGCGCAGGCGGUUCGCUAAGACCGAUGUGAAAUCCCCGGGCUUAACCUGGGAACUGCAUUGGAAACUAGCGGGCUGGAGUGUGGCAGAGGGGGGUGGAACUCCACGUGUAGCAGUGAAAUGCGUAGAGAUGUGGAGGAACACCGGUGGCGAAGGCAGCCCCCUGGGCUAACACUGACGCUCAUGCACGAAAGCGUGGGGAGCAAACAGG
rnacentral:rRNA from 1 species